AGAGUUUGAUCCUGGCUCAGGAUGAACGCUAGCUACAGGCUUAACACAUGCAAGUCGAGGGGCAGCAUGGUCUUAGCUUGCUAAGGCCGAUGGCGACCGGCGCACGGGUGAGUAACACGUAUCCAACCUGCCGUCUACUCUUGGACAGCCUUCUGAAAGGAAGAUUAAUACAAGAUGGCAUCAUGAGUCCGCAUGUUCACAUGAUUAAAGGUAUUCCGGUAGACGAUGGGGAUGCGUUCCAUUAGAUAGUAGGCGGGGUAACGGCCCACCUAGUCUUCGAUGGAUAGGGGUUCUGAGAGGAAGGUCCCCCACAUUGGAACUGAGACACGGUCCAAACUCCUACGGGAGGCAGCAGUGAGGAAUAUUGGUCAAUGGGCGAGAGCCUGAACCAGCCAAGUAGCGUGAAGGAUGACUGCCCUAUGGGUUGUAAACUUCUUUUAUAAAGGAAUAAAGUCGGGUAUGGAUACCCGUUUGCAUGUACUUUAUGAAUAAGGAUCGGCUAACUCCGUGCCAGCAGCCGCGGUAAUACGGAGGAUCCGAGCGUUAUCCGGAUUUAUUGGGUUUAAAGGGAGCGUAGAUGGAUGUUUAAGUCAGUUGUGAAAGUUUGCGGCUCAACCGUAAAAUUGCAGUUGAUACUGGAUAUCUUGAGUGCAGUUGAGGCAGGCGGAAUUCGUGGUGUAGCGGUGAAAUGCUUAGAUAUCACGAAGAACUCCGAUUGCGAAGGCAGCCUGCUAAGCUGCAACUGACAUUGAGGCUCGAAAGUGUGGGUAUCAAACAGGAUUAGAUACCCUGGUAGUCCACACGGUAAACGAUGAAUACUCGCUGUUUGCGAUAUACUGCAAGCGGCCAAGCGAAAGCGUUAAGUAUUCCACCUGGGGAGUACGCCGGCAACGGUGAAACUCAAAGGAAUUGACGGGGGCCCGCACAAGCGGAGGAACAUGUGGUUUAAUUCGAUGAUACGCGAGGAACCUUACCCGGGCUCAAACGACGCAGGAAUGUUUUUGAAAGGAGGCAGCCCUUCGGGGCCUGCGUCGAGGUGCUGCAUGGUUGUCGUCAGCUCGUGCCGUGAGGUGUCGGCUUAAGUGCCAUAACGAGCGCAACCCCCAUUGACAGUUGCUAACAGGUAAAGCUGAGGACUCUGUCGAGACUGCCGGCGCAAGCUGUGAGGAAGGCGGGGAUGACGUCAAAUCAGCACGGCCCUUACGUCCGGGGCGACACACGUGUUACAAUGGCAGGUACAGCGGGAGGCCACCUGGCGACAGGGAGCGGAACCCGAAAGCCUGUCUCAGUUCGGAUUGGAGUCUGCAACCCGACUCCAUGAAGCUGGAUUCGCUAGUAAUCGCGCAUCAGCCACGGCGCGGUGAAUACGUUCCCGGGCCUUGCACACACCGCCCGUCAAG
rnacentral:rRNA from 1 species